rnacentral:lncRNA from 1 species
UUGCUUGUUCUCACUUAUUUAUUUGUUUAUUUGUCUUUUUUGUAGGAAUAUUGCAAAUGCUUGAAGAAAUAAAAGAAUAAAGCAAAAAAGAGAAAAAGAUGGAAGAAAAGGAUCAUAGGGGAAUAUUCUCAAGGAAGCAUCUAGAUGGGACACCUACACCCCCCCUCUACCCUAAUUUCCCCCUAUAAAUACACACCUCCCCAUCAUGUUUCAACCAACCUAGGAUUUCAUAUUUUUAGUAGCCUCUCUUUUAUGUAGUAGAUCUAGUAGUAGCACUCUAAAUUUGUAAACACUUUUAUUAUAUCAAUACAAGUAUUCAUUUUUGUUCUUAAAUCUUGCUCUUUACUUUUACUUCUAGGCUAUGAAAUCUUUCUCUAACCACAUGAGACUCAAAAUUACUUGUGGAUUGAAAGGAGCCUAAUUAUAUGUUUUAAGCUUGCAUUUUUUAGUAUUUAGAUCGAGCCCCUUUUAAUUCUCAAUAUUAUUAGUGGGUUCAAUGGUUUAGUAUUCUAGAUUUUGAUUUUAGCUUGUAGUUUGAUGGGGUUUUGUUAGAGACUUGGUAGAUAAGCUAGUUUUGAAGUUUUGUGUGAUUUGGAGUUAGUUUGGUAAGAUUUGGUGUUCUCUUUGUUCUUGAUUUUGGGGCUUUUGGGUGUAAAUUUUAGUUUAUGAUUUUGACUUGAGGUUAGUGGGUUUAUGUUGAAAAUAUUAUGUUUAGGCUAGAUUUGAAAUUUGGUGUAGUUUAGAGUUGAUUUGGUUUGAUUUGGGUCUUGUUUUGUUAAAAAAAUGGGUAGUUUAGAGACUAUUUAGUGUAGAAUUUGGUGUUAAAUUUGGUUUAGAGGUUAGUGGGGUUUUAUUUGUCAUAGUGAGAAUAGCUAGAUUUUCCGGUAAAAUUAAUUUUCCGGCGAGAUUUAAGUUAUUCCGGGCACCUCCAUAAGUUCCGGUGAGCUAGUCUACCGGAAUGACUAUGUUUUAUAUUAACCGCGUAUGUAAUCGAGUUUAGUUUUCUUCUUUUCCGCAACACGCGCGCACUUAUUUUCCUUGGUUUCUGCUACUUUUCUUUUCAAUUUUUUUUAUUUUAUUUCUUUUUAUUUUAUUUCUUUUGGAGUCUUCGACUGUUAGUGUCAAGUGGUGUUUUCAGUUUUGUUUGUUUCCGCCGCACGUCGCGUGUUCUUGAUUUCAUUUUUAUUAUUGAUUUCUUUAACUUGGUUUUCAAAUUUUUCUUUAUUUUCCUUUGGUAAUAUUUUAUGUUGCAAUUAAUUAGUAAAAAAAAAAAUUUUUCAAAAUUAAAUUGGUCUAAUUCGAUUAAAUUAGAAAUUAAGUUUUCGCGAAAAUAUAUUUAGUCCUUGGAACGAAUCUUAUAUUACUAAAACGGGAUCGUGCACUUGCGAUUAAUUUCAAAAUCUUAUUUUGAGCACAUCAAGUUUUUGGGGCUUUAGUGUAAUUCUAAAAAAAUGAAAACCCUAAAAAAUGAAAAAUUAGAAAAAUCCAAAAAUAGAGAUUCUUUUAGCUAAGUUGUCUUUCCCUCACUCGAACUUUAGGAGUAGUUGGUGUUUAGCAUGUUUUCGAAAAGUAUAUAUAUGUAGUGUCUUUUAGAUAAUUUGAACGUAGUUGAGUAAGGUUGUCUUUUUGAAGCUUGUAUCGACCGAUUUGUACUUUAAAUUCCAAGAUGGCACACACUUUUGCACGAGACCUUUGAUGGAGAGAUUGUCUAGUGAUAUUAUUCGAUACCUGAGAGAGAACCCACAUGUUGAAACAAUGUCGAAUCGAACCUUUGCAAAAAAAGAAAAAGAAAAAGAAAAAAAAAGGAAUAAACUACUUCAAUACCCAUUGUUCUUUAUAGAUAAAAUCUUUAGAUAAAUGGGCAAAAGUAGAUUGACUAGUCUCGUUUUGUGGCCUUUGUUACUCGAGCAAUUAAGUCCGUAGGGGGAUUUCAAAACCUAGUGCCCUAAGACCGUUUGGUUUGGGAGUCACUGACAUAAAGCUCGCUACAUGGGUAACAUUGUUUGCCUAAGAAAACGGACAAAAUAAAGUCAAUGCAAAAAAAAAAAAAAAAAAGAAAAAAAAAAAAAGGAAUAAGAGUUUGUGAAGUUUGGCUAGAUAUUUGUUUCGAUAGAGAUUGGGUCAGUUCAAAAUUGGUUGAAAAAGAGAAAAUGUUCUUAGACAAUUAGGAUCCAUCAAAGGCCUUAAAUUACUUACACUCCUUGGAUUUCUAGUAAAUCUUUGUGUCGAUGCAAGUAGAUUAGAGACAACUGUAUCUUGAUUAUUAGUAGAUGAGUCUUUAAGUCGUAUUUUCCUUAAAAACGCUUUUUGUUAACACCAACGAAAUUAGAGUAGAGUCGAGUAGACACUUGCUAGAAUGUCUCGAAGAUUUUAUGGGUAUAUCUUCUGUAAACCCUUAGGAGACAAAACUCCUCUUGUAGAGAUCGUCUACGAGUUUAACGGGUUGGUGAACCUAAAAUCACCCGUCACGCCUACGAAAAGGAGCCUAGGAAUCGCAUCUAGUUUUCAUAGUUUAUUUUCUUUUCUUUUUGAUUUUCUCGAGGACGAGCAAAAUAUAGGUAUGGGGAAGUUUGAUAAGUGCAUAUUUUUAUAUAUUUUAAAUGCCUAAUUAUUGCUUGUUCUCACUUAUUUAUUUGUUUAUUUGUCUUUUUUUUAGGAAAAUUGCAAAAGCUUGAAGAAAUAAAAGAAUAAAGCAAAAAGAAGAAAAAGAUGGAAGAAAAGGAUCAUAGGGGAAUAUUCUCAUGGGACGCAUCUAGAUGGGACACCUACACCCCCCCCUACCCUAAUUUCCCCCUAUAAAUACACACCUCCCCAUCAUGUUUCAACCUACCUAGGAUUUCAUAUUUUUAGUAGCCUCUCUUUUAUGUAGUAGAUCUAGUAGUAGCACUCUAAAUUUGUAAACACUUUUAUUAUAUCAAUACAAGUAUUCAUUUUUGUUCUUAAA